rnacentral:rRNA from 1 species
UACAGAGGGUGCGAGCGUUAAUCGGAAUUACUGGGCGUAAAGAGCGCGCAGGCGGUCGUUCAAGUCGAGUGUGAAAGCCCCCGGCUCAACUGGGGAGGGUCAUUCGAUACUGAUCGACUCGAAGGCAGGAGAGGGAAGCGGAAUUCCCGGUGUAGUGGUGAAAUGCGUAGAUAUCGGGAGGAACACCAGUGGCGAAGGCGGCUUCCUGGCCUGUUCUUGACGCUGAGGCGCGAAAGCUAGGGGAGCAAACGGG